rnacentral:lncRNA from 1 species
GAUGCCGAGGGAGGAGGCUUUUUCGAUUCCCGCACUGCGAGGUACUCAGCAGCGAUGAAGCCCCCAGGGCUGGGCCACAGCUGUGCCAUCACACCCCCGGCCCCGGGGCUGACCCUUUGCUGACGUCAGCUCACCAGUGCCAGCUCAGCUUCCCUGCAAUGCCCUUGAUAUUUACAAGAGCUCCGUCUCCCCAGGAGGGGCGUCCUGUCUCGGGCCAGCAUGACCGCCGUCUCCCUGCUGCUGAAGGGGAGGGCCCCCUUUCUGUGGGCCUUGGCCUCUGUCUGUCAAAUGACGACGAGUUCUGUGGAUAGAACAAGGUUAGAAACGCCACCUGACAGAGCGGCCUGCAAUGCCCAUCACUGUCCUGGAGCCAGACAGGUGGAGGAGAGACCUCAGGGCUGGGCCGGGUCAGCUGACUCCAGAGUGGACACCAGGCAAUGCCCAGGGAGGGGACUCCUGGAAGAAGCCGGCCUCUUGACUUAGGGUUAAAUGUCCUCUGGUUUGAAGACACAAGAGUCUGCAUUUGCCCAAUACUUGGGGUUCUCA